UACAGAGGGGGCAAGCGUUGUUCGGAAUUACUGGGCGUAAAGGGCGCGUAGGCGGCCCGCUAAGUCGAACGUGAAAUCCCCGAGCUCAACUCGGGAACUGCGUCCGAUACUGGCGGGCUUGAAUCCGGGAGAGGGAUGCGGAAUUCCAGGUGUAGCGGUGAAAUGCGUAGAUAUCAUCAGGAACACCGGUGGCGAAAGCGGCUUACUGGGUCUCUUCUGACGCUGAGGUACGAAAGCUAGGGGAGCGAACGGG
rnacentral:rRNA from 1 species